GUUAUAGGGUCAAGCAAUGAAGCGCACACGGUGGAUGCCUAGGCAGCCAGAGGCGAUGAAAGACGUGGUAGCCUGCGAUAAGGCUCGGUGAGGUGGCAACAACCUGUGACCCGGGCAUUUCUGAAUGGGGAAACCCACCGAUCAUAAGAUCGGUAUCGUGCACUGAAUACAUAGGUGUACGAGGCGAACCAGGGGAACUGAAACAUCUAAGUACCCUGAGGAAAAGAAAUCAACCGAGAUUCCCCUAGUAGCGGCGAGCGAACGGGGACCAGCCCUUAAGCAUGAGACUGAUUAGGCGAACACGCUGGGAAGCGUGGCCGUAGCGGGUGAUAGCCCCGUAGUCGAAAAUCUGAUCAUGUGAAAUCGAGUAGGUCGGGGCACGAGAAACCUUGACUGAAGACGGGGGGACCAUCCUCCAAGGCUAAAUACUCCUGGCUGACCGAUAGUGAACCAGUACCGUGAGGGAAAGGCGAAAAGAACCCCGGAGAGGGGAGUGAAAUAGAUCCUGAAACCGUGUGCGUACAAGCAGUAGGAGCAGACUUGUUCUGUGACUGCGUACCUUUUGUAUAAUGGGUCAGCGACUUAUAUUCAGUGGCGAGGUUAACCGUAUAGGGGAGCCGUAGGGAAACCGAGUCUUAACUGGGCGACACAGUCGCUGGAUAUAGACCCGAAACCGAGCGAUCUAUCCAUGAGCAGGGUGAAGGUUGAGUAACAUCAACUGGAGGCCCGAACCAGGAUCUGUUGAAAAAGAUUUGGAUGACUUGUGGAUCGGAGUGAAAGGCUAAUCAAGCUCGGAGAUAGCUGGUUCUCCUCGAAAGCUAUUUAGGUAGCGCCUCACGUAGUACCGCCGGGGGUAGAGCACUGUUUCGGCUAGGGGGUCAUCCCGACUUACCAACCCGAGGCAAACUCCGAAUACCGGUGAGUAGCGCGUGGGAGACACACGGCGGGUGCUAACGUCCGUCGUGAAAAGGGAAACAACCCAGACCGUCAGCUAAGGUCCCGAAAUCCUGGUUAAGUGGGAAACGAUGUGGGAAGGCUCAGACAGCUAGGAGGUUGGCUUAGAAGCAGCCAUCCUUUAAAGAAAGCGUAAUAGCUCACUAGUCGAGUCGGCCUGCGCGGAAGAUGUAACGGGGCUAAACCAGGUACCGAAGCUACGGGUUCAUUCUUAGGAAUGAGCGGUAGAGGAGCGUCGUGUACGCCAAUGAAGGUGGAUUGAGAAGUCUGCUGGAGGUAUCACGAGUGCGAAUGCUGACAUGAGUAACGAUAAAGGGCGUGAAAAACGCCCUCGCCGGAAGACCAAGGGUUUCUGUUCGACGCUAAUCGGAGCAGAGUGAGUCGGCCCCUAAGGCGAGGCCGAAAGGCGUAGUCGAUGGGAAACGGGUCAAUAUUCCCGUACCGGACAUGGUUGCGAUGGGGGGACGAAGAAGGCUAGGUGAGCCAGGCGUUGGUAGUCCUGGUGAAAGUGAGUAGGCUGAGGGUUUAGGUAAAUCCGGACCCUUUUCAGGCCGAGACACGAAACGAACUGACCACGGUCAGGAAGUCACUGAUGCCACGCUUCCAGGAAAAGCCUCUAAGCUUCAGAUCAUGUGCGACCGUACCCCAAACCGACACAGGUGGUCAGGGUGAGAAUCCCAAGGCGCUUGAGAGAACUCGGGUGAAGGAACUAGGCAAAAUGGUGCCGUAACUUCGGGAGAAGGCACGCCGGCGUAGGGUGAAGAGACUUGCUCUCCUAGCCCGAACCGGUCGAAGAUACCAGGUGGCUGCAACUGUUUAUUAAAAACACAGCACUCUGCUAACGCGCAAGCGGACGUAUAGGGUGUGACGCCUGCCCGGUGCCGGAAGGUUAAAUGAUGGUGUUAGCCGCAAGGCGAAGCUCUUGAUUGAAGCCCCGGUAAACGGCGGCCGUAACUAUAACGGUCCUA
rnacentral:rRNA from 1 species